GGACCUAUCCCUGAACAGGUGGGUUCAGGCGUUUGAGCAAGGUAGCUGAACAAGCCUAUAAGCAGCAUUUCUCCACAGUCUCUGCCUUGGCUUUCCUGGAUGACGGGUCCUGUGAAGGGAAAUGUCAAGACCACUAAGUGUUGGUGCUUUCUGACCUGUGUUCUGGUGAACAGUCUCCACAUGGUUCUCAUAAUAACAUACAUCAGAGAUGGCUUCAACCCGAACGUCAAACUUCAUUAAAGGAAGCGUGACUGCAUUCCUACAAUAACCACUGAAUUGGUGUUUUUUUUUCCCUGAGGAAGAGAGUGACACCCACCGGAAUUCCCACCAGCUCUGUGGCGUCUUACACCUGAUCUCAAACAUCUUGCAUUUGGCACUCUGUGCUCCUUUGGCAUUUUACAUAACCUUCAUUCUCACACAAUUAAAACACUAGUGGCUGUUACAAA